rnacentral:rRNA from 1 species
UGUGACCUCAAAUCAGGUAGGACUACCCGCUGAACUUAAGCAUAUCAAUAAGCGGAGGAAAAGAAACUAACAAGGAUUCCCCUAGUAACUGCGAGUGAAGCGGGAAAAGCUCAAAUUUAAAAUCUGGCGGUCUUUUGGCUGUCCGAGUUGUAAUCUAGAGAAGUGUUAUCCGCGCUGGACCGUGUACAAGUCUCCUGGAAUGGAGCAUCAUAGAGGGUGAGAAUCCCGUCUUUGACAUGGACUGCCAGGGCUUUGUGAUGCGCUCUCAAAGAGUCGAGUUGUUUGGGAAUGCAGCUCAAAAUGGGUGGUAAAUUCCAUCUAAAGCUAAAUAUUGGCGAGAGACCGAUAGCGAACAAGUACCGUGAGGGAAAGAUGAAAAGAACUUUGGAAAGAGAGUUAAACAGUACGUGAAAUUGCUGAAAGGGAAACGCUUGAAGUCAGUCGCGUCAUCCAGGGAUCAACCUUGCUUUUGCUUGGUGCACUUCCUGGUUUGAUGGGUCAGCAUCAAUUUUGACCGUUGGAAAAAGGCUGAGGGAAUGUGGCAUCUU